rnacentral:rRNA from 1 species
CAGUCGAACGAGAGAGAGGAAGCUUGCUUCCUCAAUCGAGUGGCGAACGGGUGAGUAACGCGUGAGGAACCUGCCUCAAAGAGGGGGACAACAGUUGGAAACGACUGCUAAUACCGCAUAAGCCCACAGCUCGGCAUCGAGCAGAGGGAAAAGGAGCAAUCCGCUUUGAGAUGGCCUCGCGUCCGAUUAGCUAGUUGGUGAGGUAACGGCCCACCAAGGCGACGAUCGGUAGCCGGACUGAGAGGUUGAACGGCCACAUUGGGACUGAGACACGGCCCAGACUCCUACGGGAGGCAGCAGUGGGGAAUAUUGCACAAUGGGGGAAACCCUGAUGCAGCGACGCCGCGUGGAGGAAGAAGGUCUUCGGAUUGUAAACUCCUGUUGUUGAGGAAGAUAAUGACGGUACUCAACAAGGAAGUGACGGCUAACUACGUGCCAGCAGCCGCGGUAAAACGUAGGUCACAAGCGUUGUCCGGAAUUACUGGGUGUAAAGGGAGCGCAGGCGGGAGAACAAGUUGGAAGUGAAAUCCAUGGGCUCAACCCAUGAACUGCUUUCAAAACUGUUUUUCUUGAGUAGUGCAGAGGUAGGCGGAAUUCCCGGUGUAGCGGUGGAAUGCGUAGAUAUCGGGAGGAACACCAGUGGCGAAGGCGGCCUACUGGGCACCAACUGACGCUGAGGCUCGAAAGUGUGGGUAGCAAACAGGAUUAGAUACCCUGGUAGUCCACACCGUANACGAUGAUUACUAGGUGUUGGAGGNUUGACCCCUUCA